CAGAAAUUAGUUUAAAUAAAAAACAUUAAUUUUGGAGAUUAAAUUUCCUUUACGGGUUUCUGA
rnacentral:tRNA from 1 species